rnacentral:lncRNA from 1 species
UCCGUCUUACAGGAACAAGAGUUAUUAUCUCUCAAUAAAACUGACUAUGUAGUUGCACAUGUAAAAGAUUCAAAGCUGAAGCCUGAAUCAAAGCCAUCCUCUCUUGUAAAGCAGGCAUGUCUGAGUGGCAAACAGAAUUCUGAUGGCCUGGAAAGGAAGGAAGGGAACAUUUUGUCGAUGACUUCGUUAGGUGUUUCCAGUGGAAGAAAUAAAGGUGACACGACAAUAAGAAAAGGAAUAAGGACCUCUGUUAUUGCUGACAAGAAAAAUGUAGUGCUACCAUCUGUUUCUUUGUCUCCUAAAGAAUCUGAUCCCAGAAAUUUGAGCAUGAAUGCCCAAAAAAAGUGGAGAGGUGUUUAUCGUCCAAAGAAGCAGGAAAAUGCAAAGCAAAUUAAACCUGAGAAACUGCAUGGUAAGAAUGCCAAAGUGACUGAGAACCUAAAGGGAGUUUCUCAUUCGAUGGAUCAAGAGAAUGUUAAUAAACUUAAUUCGGAGCAAGCUAAUCCUGAGACAACUUCGUACCUGAUCAAGUCAAAUCCCGAGAACAAGCCUGCAGAAUCUGAUCAAAAUAAUGUUGUGUUGAAAAGGCCACCUUCAUCGUCUAAGGACAAGAGUAUGAAACACAAUCAAAACAGAAUUUCUAUAGGCCGACCACCUCGUGUAUGAGAAGAAGAAGUUGAUAUACAAGCCGACGGGAAUCCAAUCCAGUGGAUUGCCUCUGUCUUUAUCCUCAUUCCCGGGUAAGAAAAGCUUGAGACCAACUCCAAAAUGGAUUGACAAUCACUCAACCAUCUUUAGCUUCCCUGUCAACAUCAGUAUCAUCCAAGUCUUCCCAUAAUGAUACCUUGACCGAACAUGAUAAAGCAGUUGCAGAAAAUAAAAAAAGGAGCUCAAAAAUGAUAUACAAGGCUAGACCUAAAAGGGCAUUGAUGAUUACUUCAAAUAAUAAGAAUUUGCCUGGCAAAAAGUUAAAUUUCCAGAGAGGAAAGAUGAUCGAACUUUCGGUUGAGGAUUGCACUCCAAGGAGACUUACAUUCAAGAAAAGAGAGCUCGUUGACAACAGAAACGAUGAUAACCAGAAAGGCAAAGUUGAGGACUGUACUCCAAGGAGACUCAAGUUCAAGCAAAGGGUAUAUGUUAAUAACAUAAAUGAUGAUAACCAAAACAGUAGAGUCAAGGAGUUUACCCCGAAGAGACUCAAGUUCAGACGAAGAGAAAUUGUUGACAACCAAAAUGGUGAUAACCAAAACGGUAAAGUCAAGGAGUGUACUCCAAUGAGACUGAAAUUUCGGCGAAGAGUAAUUGUUGACAACCAAAAUGGUGAUAACAAAAACAGUAGAAUCGAGGAACUUACUUCAAGGAUACACGAGUUCAGGCAAAAAUUAAUUGUUGACAACAUAGAUGAUCAUAACCAAAAUGCCAAAGUCGAGGAGUUUAGUCUUGAGUCCUGCCAAAGAAAU